AUAAGCUAGUGGGAGGUAACGGUUCACCAAGGGGACGGUGGGUAGCCGACCUGAGAGGUUGAUCGGCCACACUGGGAAUGAGACCCGGCCCAGAUUCUUACGGGAGGCAGCAGUAGGGAAUCUUCCGCAAUGGACGAAAGUCCGACGGAGCAACGCCGCUUGAGUGAUGAAGGUUUUCGGAUCGUAAAGCUCUGUUGUUAGGGAAGAACAAGUGCCGUUCAAAUAGGGCGGCACCUUGACGGUACCUAACCAGAAAGCCACGGCUAACUACGUGCCAGCAGCCGCGGUAAUACGUAGGUGGCAAGCGUUGUCCGGAAUUAUUGGGCGUAAAGGGCUCGCAGGCGGUUUCUUAAGUCUGAUGUGAAAGCCCCCGGCUCAACCGGGGAGGGUCAUUGGAAACUGGGGAACUUGAGUGCAGAAGAGGAGAGUGGAAUUCCACGUGUAGCGGUGAAAUGCGUAGAGAUGUGGAGGAACACCAGUGGCGAAGGCGACUCUCUGGUCUGUAACUGACGCUGAGGAGCGAAAGCGUGGGGAGCGAACAGGAUUAGAUACCCUGGUAGUCCACGCCGUAAACGAUGAGUGCUAAGUGUUAGGGGGUUUCCGCCCCUUAGUGCUGCAGCUAACGCAUUAAGCACUCCGCCUGGGGAGUACGGUCGCAAGACUGAAACUCAAAGGAAUUGACGGGGGCCCGCACAAGCGGUGGAGCAUGUGGUUUAAUUCGAAGCAACGCGAAGAACCUUACCAGGUCUUGACAUCCUCUGACAAUCCUAGAGAUAGGACGUCCCCUUCGGGGGCAGAGUGACAGGUGGUGCAUGGUUGUCGUCAGCUCGUGUCGUGAGAUGUUGGGUUAAGUCCCGCAACGAGCGCAACCCUUGAUCUUAGUUGCCAGCAUUCAGUUGGGCACUCUAAGGUGACUGCCGGUGACAAACCGGAGGAAGGUGGGGAUGACGUCAAAUCAUCAUGCCCCUUAUGACCUGGGCUACACACGUGCUACAAUGGACAGAACAAAGGGCAGCGAAACCGCGAGGUUAAGCCAAUCCCACAAAUCUGUUCUCAGUUCGGAUCGCAGUCUGCAACUCGACUGCGUGAAGCUGGAAUCGCUAGUAAUCGCGGAUCAGCAUGCCGCGGUGAAUACGUUCCCGGGCCUUGUACACACCGCCCGUCACACCACGAGAGUUUGUAACACCCGAAGUCGGUGAGGUAACCUUUAGGGAGCCAGCCGCCGAAGGGACCG
rnacentral:rRNA from 1 species